AACAAAAAUCUUCAGGCAGAAUCUCCACAGUAGCAACCAAAAUACAACAAAAUACCCCGACAGAAUCCCACAAGUGGAGUGCGCAGAGGAUAGAGUGUACGUAGACCAUAUAUAUAUAUAUAUAUAUAUAUAUAUAUAUAUAUAUAUUUUCAUCUCUUCAGCUAUAAUCUGAUGGACCCACAGACACCCUAAAGUCUCUUUCAAAGUUUCAUCUCCAAUAUUUUCAUUCUU
rnacentral:lncRNA from 1 species